GCCAGGCGUAGUGGUGUGCGCCUGUAAUCCCUGCUACUUAGGAGGCUGAGGCAGGAGAAUCACUUGAACCCGGGAGGCGGAGGCUGCAGUGAGCCACGAUGGUGCCACUGCACUCCAGCCUGGGAGACAAAGUGAGACUCUGUUUCAA
rnacentral:SRP_RNA from 2 species